UUUGCCACUUUGCUUUCAUCCAACGCUGCGAAACAACCCUUUCUACUCGCUCUGUCGCUCUGCCCUUGAUUCAUCCCUCUAAUACGAUCCGGCCAAAAACACUCAUCCGUCAGUCAAACCCCGCCGAUCACAACGAGCGAUGCAUUAAAC